AUAAUGGGUCAGCGACUUAUAUUCUGUAGCAAGGUUAACCGAAUAGGGGAGCCGAAGGGAAACCGAGUCUUAACUGGGCGUUAAGUUGCAGGGUAUAGACCCGAAACCCGGUGAUCUAGCCAUGGGCAGGUUGAAGGUUGGGUAACACUAACUGGAGGACCGAACCGACUAAUGUUGAAAAAUUAGCGGAUGACUUGUGGCUGGGGGUGAAAGGCCAAUCAAACCGGGAGAUAGCUGGUUCUCCCCGAAAGCUAUUUAGGUAGCGCCUCGUGAAUUCAUCUCCGGGGGUAGAGCACUGUUUCGGCAAGGGGGUCAUCCCGACUUACCAACCCGAUGCAAACUGCGAAUACCGGAGAAUGUUAUCACGGGAGACACACGGCGGGUGCUAACGUCCGUCGUGAAGAGGGAAACAACCCAGACCGCCAGCUAAGGUCCCAAAGUCAUGGUUAAGUGGGAAACGAUGUGGGAAGGCCCAGACAGCCAGGAUGUUGGCUUAGAAGCAGCCAUCAUUUAAAGAAAGCGUAAUAGCUCACUGGUCGAGUCGGCCUGCGCGGAAGAUGUAACGGGGCUAAACCAUGCACCGAAGCUGCGGCAGCGACGCUUAUGCGUUGUUGGGUAGGGGAGCGUUCUGUAAGCCUGUGAAGGUGUGCUGUGAGGCAUGCUGGAGGUAUCAGAAGUGCGAAUGCUGACAUAAGUAACGAUAAAGCGGGUGAAAAGCCCGCUCGCCGGAAGACCAAGGGUUCCUGUCCAACGUUAAUCGGGGCAGGGUGAGUCGACCCCUAAGGCGAGGCCGAAAGGCGUAGUCGAUGGGAAACAGGUUAAUAUUCCUGUACUUGGUGUUACUGCGAAGGGGGGACGGAGAAGGCUAUGUUGGCCGGGCGACGGUUGUCCCGGUUUAAGCGUGUAGGCUGGUUUUCCAGGCAAAUCCGGAAAAUCAAGGCUGAGGCGUGAUGACGAGGCACUACGGUGCUGAAGCAACAAAUGCCCUGCUUCCAGGAAAAGCCUCUAAGCAUCAGGUAA
rnacentral:rRNA from 1 species